rnacentral:rRNA from 1 species
GAUCCUGGCUCAGGACGAACGCUGGCGGCGUGCUUAACACAUGCAAGUCGAACGGAGCACUCUUGAAUGAGGUUUCGGCCAAAGGAAAGGAAUGCUUAGUGGCGGACUGGUGAGUAACGCGUGAGGAACCUGCCUUUCAGAGGGGGACAACAGCUGGAAACGGCUGCUAAUACCGCAUGACGCAUUCGGAUGGCAUCAUCUGAAUGCCAAAGAUUUAUCGCUGAAAGAUGG